rnacentral:rRNA from 1 species
AGCUCCAAUAGCGUAUAUUAAAGUUGUUGCAGUUAAAAAGCUCGUAGUUGGAUUUCGGAGCGGAGCUCACGGUCCGCCUUUUCGGGUGUGCACUGUGCUGUUCUGUUCUUCUUCUCGUGGAGCGUGUGUGCUCUUCAUUGAGUGUGCACGUAACUCGGGACUUUUACUUUGAAAAAAUUAGAGUGUUCAAAGCAGGCUUAGGCCGUUGGAUACAUUAGCAUGGAAUAAUGAGAUAGGGCCACGGCGGUCUAUUUUGUUGGUUUGCACGUUGUGGUAAUGAUUAACAGGAACGGUUGGGGGUAUUCGUAUUCAAUUGUCAGAGGUGAAAUUCUUGGAUUUGUGGAAGACGAACUACUGCGAAAGCAUUUACCAAGGAUGUUUUCAUUAAUCAAGAACGAAA